rnacentral:rRNA from 1 species
UGACCGCUGGCGGCGUGCUUACCACAUGCAAGUCGACCGGAAAGGCCCAAGCUUGCUUGGGUACUCGAGUGGCGAACGGGUGAGUAACACGUGGGUGAUCUGCCCUGCACUUCGGGAUAAGCCUGGGAAACUGGGUCUAAUACCGGAUAGGACGAUGGUUUGGAUGCCAUUGUGGAAAGUUUUUUCGGUGUGGGAUGAGCUCGCGGCCUAUCAGCUUGUUGGUGGGGUAAUGGCCUACCAAGGCGUCGACGGGUAGCCGGCCUGAGAGGGUGUACGGCCACAUUGGGACUGAGAUACGGCCCAGACUCCUACGGGAGGCAGCAGUGGGGAAUAUUGCACAAUGGGCGCAAGCCUGAUGCAGCGACGCCGCGUGGGGGAUGACGGCCUUCGGGUUGUAAACUCCUUUCGCUAGGGACGAAGCGUUUUUGUGACGGUACCUGGAGAAGAAGCACCGGCUAACUACGUG